rnacentral:rRNA from 1 species
AUUGAACGCUGGCGGCAUGCCUUACACAUGCGAGUCGAACGGCAGCGGGGGAGAAGCUUGCUUUUCCUGCCGGCGAGUGGCGAACGGGUGAGUAAUACAUCGGAACGUGCCCUGUAGUGGGGGAUAACUAGUCGAAAGAUUAGCUAAUACCGCAUACGACCUGAGGGUGAAAGUGGGGGACCGCAAGGCCUCAUGCUAUAGGAGCGGCCGAUGUCUGAUUAGCUAGUUGGUGGGGGAAAGGCCUACCAAGGCGACGAUCAGUAGCUGGUCUGAGAGGACGAUCAGCCACACUGGGACUGAGACACGGCCCAGACUCCUACGGGAGGCAGCAGUGGGGAAUUUUGGACAAUGGGCGAAAGCCUGAUCCAGCAAUGCCGCGUGUGUGAAGAAGGCCUUCGGGUUGUAAAGCACUUUUGUCCGGAAAGAAAUGGCUCUGGUUAAUACCUGGGGUCGAUGACGGUACCGGAAGAAUAAGGACCGGCUAACUACGUGCCAGCAGCCGCCGUAAAAC